rnacentral:lncRNA from 1 species
GUCACAAGCGACUCCUCCAUAAGGCAAGCACUGCAUUUCAUGGGCUUUAACAUUAGCAUAUGCUCACAAUUCACUGUCAUUCAAACAAAUUUUUUUUCAUGAAAGGAACCAUUACAAGGAACGUUCAGAUUUUUCAAGCUUUUGUGGGAUGGAAGAAACACUUUCUGCAGUGUGCCUACCUACUCUUGAGUUCAAGGACUCCAGUUGCAAAACUUCCUGAUAAUCUUUCUGACUUAGCAGACCUUGGGAAGGAUUGGAUUUCUUUCAUUUUUGCAACUUUUAAGUACUUCAUAAGAAUAGUACUACCCAUCCUCCUGCUGCUUUAGUCUAUCAGAUGAACUGAGAGCUCUCAGAAGCUACUGUAGUAGUGCUAGAGCAAUUUCUUUUCUAACCCUGAGGCAACUACUGCUUCUCAUCUCCAUUUUUCCAUCUUGCAAAAGAGAUGAGAUAGAAAAAGGCAUCAUGGGUUUCAGGUGAUAAGAGUAAGUAAUUGUUACCUGAUAAAAUAACACUCACAGCCUGCCAGUGCUGGUUAGAGGCCAAGAAAGAGAUAAUCUUACAGCUCUUUUUGGCUGGGAAUGCCCUGCUGCUACUUCCUAUACACGUUUUCAUCAGAGAUGCAUCCAAAGUGUUGCCAUUCAAGUGUAAAAUCAGACCCACAAAACCUCAGUCACAGCGUGAACAUAAGUUCAGGAGGCCCUGAAGUACUUCAGAAUACCAUUGAUUCAUCCAGUGAAAAAUCAAAAGAAAGAUAACAUCUGACAGGAAUAGAUUCCCAACACCACAUGAAAUUAUAUUUUGACCACAGACACAUAAAAAAUAAUAAAUUGAUUCAAAUAAUUUAAAGCA